rnacentral:rRNA from 1 species
CACCUCUAGCAUUACCAGUAUUAGAGGCACUGCCUGCCCAGUGACAUUAGUUAAACGGCCGCGGUAUCCUGACCGUGCAAAGGUAGCAUAAUCAUUUGUUCCUUAAUUAGGGACUUGUAUGAAUGGCCCCACGAGGGUUUAACUGUCUCUUACUUUCAAUCAGUGAAAUUGACCCUCCCGUGAAGAGGCGGGAAUAUAAAAAUAAGACGAGAAGACCCUAUGGAGCUUAAAUUAAUUUGCUCAACAAAAUUUAAAUUCAGCCCAACAGGAAUAAUUAUAAUUUAACUGAGCAAUAAAUUUUGGUUGGGGUGACCUCGGAGUAUAACAAAACCUCCGAGUGAUUACAACUAAGACAUACUUGUCAAAGUUACGUAACUUAUUGAUCCAAUCAUAUUGAUCAACGAAACAAGUUACCCUAGGGAUAACAGCGCAAUCCUAUUUGAGAGUUCAUAUCGACAAUAGGGUUUACGACCUCGAUGUUGGAUCAGGACACCCAAAUGGUGCAGCAGCUAUUAAAGGUUCGUUUGUUC